rnacentral:lncRNA from 1 species
AAAACUAUUGACACAAACCUUGCCACUGACAGGCACGUGAAGCCUGGACCUGAACAUGGAGAAACCUCAUUCAAGAGGCUCUGGGAGGCAAAUCUCCACCCCCUGAUGUAGACCCAGCUGCGAACAGCUCUCUCUGCAGAGUUGGAGACUGGCCAGCCACUUGGAGAGAAAGUUGAACCUGUUGAGAAAGCUUGCAUUCCUUGGCUGCCUCUCUAUGUCCAAAUUGCAGUGGAGCCUGACUACCAGCCUGUGAGUACCUGUCUUGGACAAGGACCUUGCUGCCUCCUUCCAUGCAUUUCUCACUUCCAUCCUGGAUCACUGCACUCACUUUCAUUAGAACAAAGGUGCAGAAUUGCUUACGCAGUGUACUGUUUCAUCUUUGGGGUUUUUCCACUGGUAAUGUAUAUACCAGGCUGUGUUCUGUGUGCAGAAAGCAAGGUCAAAAAAGCACAUCAUGUAUUUAGAGGAGGUUGUUGUUAGGUGUGAAGUAGUUCUUGGUGUCCAUGGGAGAUUUUUCCACAGCCUCAGACUGACCAAGAAACUUCUCCAGCACAGACUGUUGUCAUACCCCUCUAGAAAAGACAACGCAAUGCCUGAGGCAAGAAGUUGCAAACGCUAGGUCUUCUCCUAGAUUUGGGGAAACUUUUUUCAUACUUAUCUGCUAGCACCUAUAGGACUUUUACUUGCUGACAACUUUCUGCCAGUGCAGAUUCUUCUCCCCCCGCACUUCUACUUGGUCCCAGUGAAGAAGUACAAGCUGUGAAGCAAUUAGGAAGUAGCUAAUGGAGAGAGAUGGCUACAGUAGCAAACAGUAGUUUGAGGCCAGGGAUCUGCUAUUUCCACUUAAUUCCCUUUACCCCUUCACACCAUGAAUUGUUCUGGGCUGUUGCAGCCACUUUCAACUAAACAAAUGCUUCCAGGAUUUAUAUCAUCUGCCUAAUGACCUGGAAGCCUACAUUCAGUGACCAUCUAUUAUCAUCUUUAGAUGUAAAGUAGCAACUUUUGCUGAUGCACCUGAUCAGGGAGCAGUCUUGGUGACAGAAGAUGGAAUUCAUCUAAAAUACGGCUGCGACAUUUUACACCCCUUGAGUUAGUGAAAUGUUGAUAACGUUUGUACCAUUAUGGUUUAGGAUCUUGGGUUGGAAGGGACACCAGAAGGGACUUCAGGAGUCCAUCUAGCCCAACCUCCUGCUCACAGCAGGGCAGCUGUGAGGCCAUACCGAGUUACUCGGGGCUUUGCCCAGUCGAGUCUUGAAAACCUCCAAGGAUGGAGACUGCACACCCUCUCUGGGCAACCCAUUCCAAUGCCUGACUGUCCUCAUGGGGAAAAAGGUUUUCCACAUACCCAGCCUGAACCUCUCUUGUUUCAGUUUAUGUCCAUUGUCUCUCAUCCUCCCACCAUGCAGCACUGUGAAGAGCCUGGCUCUGUUUUCUCAAUAACCUCCUUGUAGGUACUGGAAGGCUGCUGUUAGUGCCUCCA